GAUGAACGCUGGCGGCGUGCCUAAUACAUGCAAGUCGAGCGAACAGACGAGGAGCUUGCUCCUCUGACGUUAGCGGCGGACGGGUGAGUAACACGUGGAUAACCUACCUAUAAGACUGGGAUAACUUCGGGAAACCGGAGCUAAUACCGGAUAAUAUAUUGAACCGCAUGGUUCAAUAGUGAAAGACGGUCUUGCUGUCACUUAUAGAUGGAUCCGCGCCGCAUUAGCUAGUUGGUAAGGUAACGGCUUACCAAGGCGACGAUGCGUAGCCGACCUGAGAGGGUGAUCGGCCACACUGGAACUGAGACACGGUCCAGACUCCUACGGGAGGCAGCAGUAGGGAAUCUUCCGCAAUGGGCGAAAGACUGACGGAGCAACGCCGCGUGAGUGAUGAAGGUCUUCGGAUCGUAAAACUCUGUUAUUAGGGAAGAACAAAUGUGUAAGUAACUAUGCACGUCUUGACGGUACCUAAUCAGAAAGCCACGGCUAACUACGUG
rnacentral:rRNA from 1 species